UCCCAUUCCAUCUCUUCUAUCCCCCUCUCUCCCAUUCCAUCUCCUCUAUCCCCUCUCUCCCAUUCCUUUUCCUCUAUCCCCUCUCUCCCAUUCCAUCUCUUCUAUCCCCUCUCUCCCAUUCCUUCUCCUCUAUCCCCCUCUCCCAUUCCUUCUCCUUAACACCCCUCUCCCAUUCCUUAUCCUCUAUCCCCUCUGUCCCAUUUCUUCCCAUCUACCCCUCUCCCAUUCCUUCUCCUCUAUUCCCUCUCUCCCAUUCCUUCUCCUCUAUCCCCUCUCUCCCAUUCCAUCUCCUCUAUCCCCCCUCUCCCAUUCCUUCUCCUCGACACCCACUCUCCCAUUCCAUCUCCUCUAUUCCCUCUCUCCCAUUCCUUUCUCUCUACCCCCUCUCUCUCAUUCUCCAGUGCCUUAUCCUCAGGGUUGGGGAGUUUACAUGUAACGGUAACUGUAAUCCGUUACAAACGAAAAUAUUGUAAUCAGAUUACAGAUACUUUUGAAAAACUAGAAGAUUAUUUCCAGGGUUACUUUUAAAUUCAGAAAGGAUGUUUCUGAAAAAAAAUAUUGACACCUCUCUGUUUUCUCAAUGACAUUCAAAUCAGCAUUGAAGAAGGCGCAAAUGUAUUAAGUUUGUUCCACCUGAGCGAGUCUGACCACAAGUCAGAGACCACUAUGAUAACACAUCAAAUGUGUUUGAUGGAUCGCGGGAAAAGAGCAGGAAAGGGCUAUUGUGGGUUUCAGUCCAAGCCAUGUCUUCCAAUGGUGUGACUGCUGUCGGCAUCCAAAGAUGAUCCAACUUGAAUAAAGGCUUGGAGGUAAAGGAUGACAGUAGUGGUGUCGUCUACAGUGAUACCGAUAUCACUAAUUACUGAUAUCUACAUAGCGUAUUGAUGUGAAUCACACUGCUGCUCUCUUAUUUAGCUAUUUUUGCCUUACGGAUUGUGGUUGUAUGUUCACAAAUCUAAAUGUGGUUUUGAACCCAAUAAUGGUUGAAUUCAAGAAGUUGCAUAGUGCGGAUCCCAGCAUAUGGAAUAACAGUUGCAUAGUGCGGAUCCCAGCAUAUGGAAUAACAGCUGCAUAGUGCGGAUCCCAGCAUAUGGAAUAACAGCUGCAUAGUGCAGAUCCCAGCAUAUGGAAUAACAGCUGCACAGUGCAGAUCCCAGCAUAUGGAAUAACAGCUGCAUAGUGCGGAUCCCAGCAUAUGGAAUAACAGCUGCACAGUGCAGAUCCCAGCAUAUGGAAUAACAGCUGCAUAGUGCGGAUCCCAGCUAAUGGAAUAACAGCUGCAUAGUGCGGAUCCCAGCAUAUGGAAUAACAGCUGCAUAGUGCGGAUCCCAGCUAAUGGAAUAACAGCUGCAUAGUGCAGAUCCCAGCAUAUGGAAUAACAGCUGCACAGUGCAGAUCCCAGCAUAUGGAAUAACAGCUGCAUAGUGCAGAUCCCAGCAUAUGGAAUAACAGCUGCACAGUGCAGAUCCCAGCAUAUGGAAUAACAGCUGCAUAGUGCGGAUCCCAGCAUAUGGAAUAACAGCUGCAUAGUGCGGAUCCCAGCAUAUGGAAUAACAGCUGCAUAGUGCGGAUCCCAGCAUAUGGAAUAACAGCUGCAUAGUGCAGAUCCCAGCAUAUGGAAUAACAGCUGCACAGUGCGGAUCCCAGCAUAUGGAAUAACAGCCGCAUAGUGCGGAUCCCAGCAUAUGGAAUAACAGCUGCAUAGUGCAGAUCCCAGCAUAUGGAAUAACAGCUGCAUAGUGCGGAUCCCAGCAUAUGGAAUAAACGUGGUGCUUUUAUUGCACAAUAUAAUUCAAGUUGAUAAAAAUAAAUCCAUAGGCCUACUGGACACAUGCUCAAACUCCUUCACUUUUGAUAGACUUAAAGGGUCAAUCUGUAGAUGGUACAUCCAUUUUUGGACUUAUACAUUAUAUAUACCUGUAUAUAUCCAUUAAUUGUUGAAGAAUAUAACUUAUAAAUGCCUCAUGAGCUUAGUUCAACAGCCACACUCCAUCAGAACCCAAAAUAGAAGCUUGUUUUUCUCCAAUGUUUGUAAACAUUGUAAAUGUAAUCAAACAAGGUAUAGCCUCAUAACAUACUGUAGUUAAAACUAUAAUUUUGAUAUCAUGGAUGGUCAGUCCUUACAUCCGUAGCUCUGUCUAUUCAUCUGAGAGUGGUUACAUUUCUCCAGGCCCAUCCCUCCGCUUUUUACCAAAACAGAGGCGGGGUGCCCAUUUUGUUAUUGUUUCAUCUGUGGAGUUGCCCUUUAAACAGCUGCAUAUUAUCAAGAUAUCAAAGUGUCGCCAACUAAAAGGUAAACAAUAGACAUAUAGCAAAUGCAGCACAUGGCAUUCAUUUUUCACAUGUAAAUAGCACUUUUCAGUGUUCAAAGCUUGCCAUUCCACGAGCGAAGCAUUUAUUUUUUCAAUUAGAAUCAAUAAACCCAAUCAGUCCUCAACGACAAAAUCAUAAACAACACAGUAGGGCUGGCUAAUAAGUCCUUCGUUUUGGGGUUAUACUCAGAUAAAACCGUUUGGCUGAUCUAUACUUCUGUAUUUCCAAGUCCUAUUCUUGAAGGUCAAGGGGUAUAUCAUUUAUUGUAAUGACUGGAAUUCUGAUAGACUGGUUUUUAAUGUAAAUAUAUAGUUUAAUCGUUGGAGUAGAAAGCGAUGGGUUAGAAGAAGCCUACAUAACCCAUAAAGUCAAAUGUAACACCCAUUUAUGACCAGCUAUGUAAACUUUAACAUUGAUUUAUCCUGCAAUGUCGUUCAAUUGGUAACAUACAUUUUUGUCUUCUUCUUAUACCUCUUAAGGGGAAAGUCAUCUAAAAUAAAUGUAAUGUAAUCAGAUUAUGUUACUGAGUUUGGGUAAUCCAAAAGUUUUAUUUCUGAUUACAAUUUUGGACAGGUAACUUGUUUAGAAAGUAACCUACCCAACCCUGCUUAUCCUACAGUGCCUUCUCCUGUCUCUCCUCUACCCCCCCCUCUCUGAUUCCAUCUCCUAUACCCUAGUCCCAUUCCCUAGGGCCUGUCUCUCCUCUACCCCACUCUCCCAUUCCAUCUCCUAUACCCUAGUCCCAUUCCAUCUCCUAUACCCUAGUCCCAUUCCAUCUCCUAUACUCUAGUCCCAUUCCAUCUCCUAUACCCUAGUCCCAUUCCAUCUCCUAUACCCUAGUCCCAUUCCAUCUCCUAUACCCUAGUCCCAUUCCAUCUCCUAUACCCUAGUCCCAUUCCAUCUCCUAUACUCUAGUCCCAUUCCAUCUCCUAUACCCUAGUCCCAUUCCAUCUCCUAUACUCUAGUCCCAUUCCAUCUCCUAUACUCUAGUCCCAUUCCAUCUCCUAUACCCUAGUCCCAUUCCAUCUCCUAUACUCUAGUCCCAUUCCAUCUCCUAUACCCUAGUCCCAUUCCAUCUCCUAUACCCUAGUCCCAUUCCAUCUCCUAUACCCUAGUCCCAUUCCAUCUCCUAUACCCUAGUCCCAUUCCAUCUCCUAUACCCUAGUCCCAUUCCAUUUCCUAUACCCUAGUCCCAUUCCAUCUCCUAUACCCUAGUCCCAUUCCAUCUCCUAUACCCUAGUCCCAUUCCAUCUCCUAUAUCCUAGUCCCAUUCCAUCUCCUAUACCCUAGUCCCAUUCCAUCUCCUAUACCCUAGUCCCAUUCCAUCUCCUAUAUCCUAGUCCCAUUCCAUCUCCUAUAUCCUAGUCCCAUUCCAUCUCCUAUACCCUAGUCCCAUUUCAUCUCCUAUACCCUAGUCCCAUUUCAUAUCCUAUACCCUAGUCCCAUUCCAUCUCCUAUACCCUAGUCACAUUCCAUCUCCUAUACCCUAGUCCCAUUCCAUCUCCUAUACCCUAGUCCCAUUCCAUCUCCUAUACCCUAGUCCCAUUCCAUCUCCUAUAUCCUAGUCCCAUUCCAUCUCCUAUACCCUAGUCCCAUUCCAUCUCCUAUACCCUAGUCCCAUUCCAUCUCCUAUAUCCUAGUCCCAUUCCAUCUCCUAUAUCCUAGUCCCAUUCCAUCUCCUAUAUCCUAGUCCCAUUCCAUCUCCUAUAUCCUAGUCCCAUUCCAUCUCCUAUACCCUAGUCCCAUUCCAUCUCCUAUAUCCUAGUCCCAUUCCAUCUCCUAUAUCCUAGUCCCAUUCCAUCUCCUAUAUCCUAGUCCCAUUCCAUCUCCUAUAUCCUAGUCCCAUUCCAUCUCCUAUACCCUAGUCCCAUUCCAUCUCCUAUACCCUAGUCCCAUUCCAUCUCCUAUACCCUAGUCCCAUUCCAUCUCCUAUAUCCUAGUCCCAUUCCCUAGGGCCUUAUCCUACAGUGCCUUCUAUACCCCCUUUCCAUUUUUAUUUUUAUUUACCCAGGAAAAGCCUAUUGAGACACAGUCUCUUUUUCAAGGGAGACCUGGCCAAGAAGGCAUUAACAAUCAAUACAUUACAGAAUUAAAACAUACAACAAUACAAUACAACAACGUGAUCCAGCCUAAGAAAAAGCAUUUACACUCCUCUGUAACAGAGUCUCCCAUCAAUAUUUUAAAUGAAUUCCGUGGCACUAACAUCAAUAGUGGAAAAAGUACCCAAUUGUCAUACUUGAGUAAAAGUAAAGAUACCUUAAUAGAAAAAGGCACUGCAUCUCAGUAAAGGCGUCACUACAGACCCUGGUUUGAUUCCAGGCUGUAUCACAUCCGGCUGUGAUUGGGAGUCCCAUAGUGCGUCGCACAAUUGGCCCAGUGUGGUCGGGAUUAGGGUUUGGCCGGGGAAGGCCCAGUGUGGUCGGGAUUAGGGUUUGGCCGGGGAAGGCCCAGUGUCGUCUGGAUUAGGGUUUGGCCGGGGAAGGCCCAGUGUCGUCUGGAUUAGGGUUUGGCCGGAGAAGGCCCAGUGUCGUCUGGAUUAGGGUUUGGCCGGAGAAGGCCCAGUGUCGUCUGGAUUAGGGUUUGGCUGGGGAAGGCCCAGUGUCGUCUGGAUUAGGGUUUGGCCGGGGAAGGCCGUCAUUGUAAAUAAGAAUUUGUUCUUAACUGACUUGCCUAGUUAAAUCAAGGUUAAAGAAAAUGGUAAAAGUGAAAGUCACACAGUAAAAUACUACUUGAGUAAAAGUAUUUGCUUUUAAAUGCUUUCUCCUAUAUCCCUUCCCAUUCCCUAGUGCCUUAUCCUACAGUACUUUCUCCCCUACCCAUUCCCUAGCGCCUUAUCCUACAGUACUUUCUCCCCUACCCAUUCCCUAGUGCCUUAUCCUACAGUACUUUCUCCCCUACCCAUUCCCUAGCGCCUUAUCCUACAGUACUUUCUCCCCUACCCAUUCCCUAGCGCCUUAUCCUACAGUAAUUUCUCCCCUACCCAUUCCCUAGCACCUUAUCCUACAGUAAUUUCUCCCCUACCCAUUCCCUAGCACCUUAUCCUACAGUACUUUCUCCCCUGCCCAUUCCCUAGCGCCUUAUCCUACAGUACUUUCUCCCCUGCCCAUUCCCUAGCGCCUUAUCCUACAGUAAUUUCUCCCCUACCCAUUCCCUAGCACCUUAUCCUACAGUACUUUCUCCCCUGCCCAUUCCCUAGCGCCUUAUCCUACAGUACUUUCUCCCCUGCCCAUUCCCUAGCGCCUUAUCCUACAGUGCUUUCUCCCCUACCCAUUCCCUAGCGCCUUAUCCUACAGUGCUUUCUCCCCUACCCAUUCCCUAGCGCCUUAUCCUACAGUGCUUUCUCCCCUACCCAUUCCCUAGCGCCUUAUCCUACAGUACUUUCUCCCCUACCCAUUCCCUAGCGCCUUAUCCUACAGUACUUUCUCCCCUACCCAUUCCCUAGCGCCUUAUCCUACAGUACUUUCUCCUAUACCCAUUCCCUAGCGCCUUAUCCUACAUUACUUUCUCGUAGACCCAUUCCCUAGCGCCUUAUCCUACAGUACUUUCUCCCCUACCCAUUCCCUAGCGCCUUAUCCUACAGUGCUUUCUCCUAUACCCAUUCCCUAGCGCCUUAUCCUACAGUACUUUCUCCCCUACCCAUUCCCUAGCGCCUUAUCCUACAGUACUUUCUCCUAUACCCAUUCCCUAGCGCCUUAUCCUACAGUACUUUCUCCUAUACCCAUUUCCUAGCGCCUUAUCCUACAGUACUUUGUCCCCUACCCAUUCCCUAGCGCCUUAUCCUACAGUGCUUUCUCCUAUACCAUUCCCUAGCGCCUUAUCCUACAGUACUUUCUCCCCUACCCAUUCCCUAGCGCCUUAUCCUACAGUGCUUUCUCCCUACCCAUUCCCUAGCGCCUUAUCUUACAGUGCUUUCAACCCUACCCAUUCCCUAGCGCCUUAUCCUACAGUACUUUCCCCCUACCCAUUCCCUAGCGCCUUAUCCUACAGUGCUUUCUCCCCUUCCCAUUCCCUAGCGCCUUAUCCUACAGUGCUUUCUCCCCUUCCCAUUCCCUAGCGCCUUAUCCUACAGUACUUUCUCCCCUACCCAUUCCCUAGCGCCUUAUCCUACAGUACUUUCUCCUAUACCCCUUCCCAUUCCCUAGCGCCUUAUCCUACAGUGUUUUCUCCCCUUCCCAUUCCCUAGCGCCUUAUCCUACAGUACUUUCUCCCCUACCCAUUCCCUAGCGCCUUAUCCUACAGUACUUUCUCCCCUACCCAUUCCCUAGCGCCUUAUCCUACAGUACUUUCUCCCCUACCCAUUCCCUAGCGCCUUAUCCUACAGUGCUUUCUCCCCUUCCCAUUCCCUAGCGCCUUAUCCUACAGUACUUUCUCCCCUACCCAUUCCCUAGCGCCUUAUCCUACAGUGUUUUCUCCCCUUCCCAUUCCCUAGGGCAUUAUUUUACAGUGCGUUCUCCUAUAUCCCUUCCCAUUCCCUAGCGCCUUAUCCUACAGUGCUUUCUCCCCUUCCCAUUCCCUAGGGCAUUAUUUUACAGUGCUUUCUCCUAUAUCCCUUCCCAUUCCCUAGCGCCUUAUCCUACAGUGGUUUCUCCCCUUCCCAUUCCCUAGGGCAUUAUUUUACAGUGCUUUCUCCUAUAUCCCUUCCCAUUCCCUAGCGCCUUAUCCUACAGUGCUUUCUCCCCUUCCCAUUCCCUAGCGCCUUAUCCUAUAGUGCUUUCUCCCCUUCCCAUUCCCUAGGGCAUUAUUUUACAGUGCGUUCUCCUAUAUCCCUUCCCAUUCCCUAGCGCCUUUUCCUACAUUGCUUUCUCCCCUUCCCAUUCCCUAGGGCAUUAUUUUACAGUGCUUUCUCCUAUAUCCCUUCCCAUUCCCUAGCGCCUUAUCCUACAGUACUUUCUCCUAUAUUCCUUCCCAUUCCCUAGCGCCUUAUCCUACAGUGCUUUCUCCCCUUCCCAUUCCCUUGCGCAUUAUCCUACAGUGCUUUCUCCUAUAUCCCUUCCCAUUCCCUAGCGCAUUAUCCUACAGUGCUUUCUCCCCUUCCCAUUCCCUAGCGCAUUAUCCUACAGUGCUUUCUCCCCUUCCCAAUCCCUAGCACAUUAUCCUACAGUGCUUUCUCCCCUACCCAUUCCCUAACGCCUUAUCCUACAGUACUUUCUCCUAUACCCAUUCCCUAGCGCAUUAUCCUACAGUGCUUUCUCCCCUUCCCAAUCCCUAGCACAUUAUCCUACAGUGCUUUCUCCCCUACCCAUUCCCUAACGCCUUAUCCUACAGUACUUUCUCCUAUACCCAUUCCCUAGGCCAUUAUCCUACAGUGCUUUCUCCUAUACCCAUUCCCUAGCGCAUUAUCCUACAGUGCUUUCUCCUAUACCCAUUCCCUAGCGCAUUAUCCUACAGUGCUUUCUCCUAUACUCAUUUCCUUGCACAUUAUCCUACAGUGCUUUCUCCUAUACCCAUUCCCUAGGGCAUUAUCCUACAGUGCUUUCUCCUAUACUCUAUACAAUCUGAAAAGAUUGUCAGUGUUUCGAGCUCCAGUCUUUUUCUGGAUGUAACCGUGUAACCAUUGAUUUCUUGUUAAGCUAAUAUUUAACCCGUCAAUGCUGUUUUUCUCUUGGCAGUAUAACUGACUACAUUUGAAGGUUUUAUGUGUUUCUGAGGGAAAACCCUACAAGAGGACAAGGAAGAAUAAUAUGAUUCAAAUAGACAGGAAGUAGAAAUGGCCUUUAUUGUUUACCAUAACACACAUCAUACACUAUCAUACAGCAUGUUAUUAAAACAGGACUAAACUAACUGAAGUUCUCAAUGGUGAUGUAAUAAUGACUUGUCAAUGGUGAUGUAAUAAUGACUUGUCAAUAGUGAUGUAAUAAUGACUUGUCAAUGGUGAUGUAAUAAUGACUUGUCAAUGGUGAUGACAUCUUGUUCUGUCUCUCCUCCAGCUGAGUAUGAGGACUGGUUUCACCAUCACUGACUUCUGAAGCUUCGGUUUUGACACUGGGAUAGGCUAUAUUUUACACUUUCCCUCAUUGGUGCUGAGAAUAGCUGGCCACUGUGACUCCCUUUUCUGUGUGUGAGAGAGAGUAAGACCAAGGGAGAGAUUAUUUGAAAAGAAGAGGAAGAAAUAUGAGUGCAGGAAAGAGUGAUAUGAUCCCUUAGCAUCUCAGAGCCAAGGACACACAAAACCACAUCUCGUUAGUUUGAGCAAUGCUUUUAGAUUUAUUUGACAGAAUAUUACAGUAGUGCUAUAACCCUUCACACAACCUCUAUAACCCUUCACACAGUUGCUAUAAGCCUUCCCUUUGCCCUUAUGUAGACAGGAUGGGCAGUGAGCUGAGACAUGCUCUGUAAUGAACAACACCUCAAAGCAAUGUGGAAAAAACACUCAUAUUUAUAUUAUUAUUUACAAAUCAUGUUCAAUUACAACAUUUUGAUAUCUGUCUAUUUCAAAAGACACUGCUUUUGGUCACGAAAACGUGUUUAUUGUUAUUCCAUUAUUUUUCUCAUCAAUAAAUAACUGUUCUCCAGUAUAGCUGUCUUGAGUGCCGUCUCUUUAGUAACAUAGAGAGGGAGACGGAGAGAGGGGGAGAGGGAGAGAGAGGGAGACGGGGAGAGGGAGAGAGAGGGAGACGGGGAGAGGGAGGGAGACGGGGAGAGAGAGGGAGACGGGGAGAGGGAGAGAGAGGGAGACGGGGAGAGAGAGGGAGACGGGGA
ensembl:lncRNA